CACACAUCACAACCACCUCCAUUUCCUCAUGCCUUCUCUUCCACCUUCUACCCUGAGGAAUCAGCCAGCCUGAAGGAGUGGGGCAGAGAGCAGAAGCCUGCCCUUCCAUAACAGAUCUGCGGCUGGGAGGGAGAGGAGAAGGGACUUCUCCUAGAAUGGAAAUGGAGUGCUGGUUCAUACCUUGGACUAGACAUUUAGAAAUUUGAGACUUCUUGUGACUUAAACUGCCUAUUCUACCAGAAGGUCCAUGUUAGCCUUCUGGAGAAUGAGAGAACUUCUGAAGGAGAACCAACUACCCCAGCUGACAGCCAGCCUACCCACAAAAGCAGAGCCACUAGUGAACCCGCAGCUGACUUCAGUCAUACGUGAAAGACCAUACAAAUUCAAAGAACCAUCCAGAUGAGCCCAGCCUAAAUUGCUGACCCCAGAAAAAAUGAACUAAAUAAAUGGUAGUUAUUUUAA